UACGGGGGGAGCAAGCGUUGUUCGGAUUUACUGGGCGUAAAGGGCGCGUAGGCGGCUUGCCAAGUCGCGGGUGAAAUCUUUCGGCUUAACCGGAAAAGUGCCCGCGAUACUGGCCGGCUCGAGCGAGGUAGGGGCAGGGGGAACUUCCGGUGGAGCGGUGAAAUGCGUUGAUAUCGGAAGGAACGCCGGUGGCGAAAGCGCCCUGCUGGACCUCACCUGACGCUGAGGCGCGAAAGCCAGGGGAGCAAACGGG
rnacentral:rRNA from 1 species